CCUACGGGAGACAGCAGUGAGGAAUAUUGGUCAAUGGGCGAGAGCCUGAACCAGCCAAGUCGCGUGAGGGAGUACUGCCCUAUGGGUUGUAAACCUCUUUUGUCGGGGAGCAAAAGCCGGACGUGUCCGGCUGUGAGAGUACCCGAAGAAAAAGCAUCGGCUAACUCCGUGCCAGCAGCCGCGGUAAUACGGAGGAUGCGAGCGUUAUCCGGAUUUAUUGGGUUUAAAGGGUGCGCAGGCGGAUUUUUAAGUCAGCGGUAAAAUCGUGGGGCUCAACCCCAUCCAGCCGUUGAAACUGGGGAUCUAGAGUGUGCGAGAGGUAUGCGGAAUGCGUGGUGUAGCGGUGAAAUGCAUAGAUAUCACGCAGAACCCCGAUUGCGAAGGCAGCAUACCGGUGCACAACUGACGCUCAGGCACGAAAGCGUGGGUAUCGAACAGGAUUAGAUACCCUAGUAGUC
rnacentral:rRNA from 1 species